AUUGAACGCUGGCGGCAGGCCUAACACAUGCAAGUCGAACGAGUGGCGGACGGGUGAGUAAUGUGUGAGACACUGCCUGAUGGAGGGGGAAAACUACUGGACACGGUAGCUAAUACCGCAUACUAUUGUAUGCCCCCAGAGGGGAUGAGCUAGUAGGUGGGGUAAGGGCUCCCCUAGGCGACGAUCCCUAGCUGGUCUGAGAGGAUGACCAGCCACACUGGAACUGAGACACGGUCCAGACUCCUACGGGAGGCAGCAGUGGGGAAUAUUGCACAAUGGGCGCAAGCCUGAUGCAGCCAUGCCGCGUGUAUGAAGAAGGCCUUCGGGUUGUAAAGUACUUUCAGCGGGGAGGCGUUACCCGCAGAAGAAGCACCGGCUAACUCCGUGCCAGCAGCCGCGGUAAUUC
rnacentral:rRNA from 1 species